rnacentral:rRNA from 1 species
GGAGGGGGCAAGCGUUAUUCGGAAUUAUUGGGCGUAAAGGGCGCGUAGGCUGCUUGACAAGUCAAAGGUGAAAUCCCUCGGCCCAACCGAGGAAUUGCCUUUGAAACUGUCUCGCUUGAGGCCGGGAGAGGGUAGUGGAAUUCCCAGUGUAGCGGUGAAAUGCGUAGAUAUUGGGAGGAACACCAGUGGCGAAGGCGGCUACCUGGACCGGUUCUGACGCUGAGGCGCGAAAGCGUGGGGAGCAAACAGGAUUAGAUACCCUGGGUAGUCCACGCUGUAAACGAUGGGUACUCGGUGCUGCGGGUAUCGACCCCCCCUGCAGUGCCUUAGCUAACGCGUUAACGUACCCCCGCCUGGGGAGUACGGUCGCAAGGCUG